CUGGCAGCGUGGAUUAGGCAUGCAAGUCGAGCGGGAUCCAGGGCUAUAGCAAUAUACUCUGGUGAGAGCGGCGGAAGGGUGAGUAACGCGCGGGUAAUCUACCCCUAAGAUUGGAAUAACCCUUCGAAAGGAGGGCUAAUACCGAAUGUGGUCGUCCCGGGCAUCCGGGACUGUCUAAAGGCGGGGAUCGCAAGACCUGUCACUUAGGGAUGAACCCACGACCUAUCAGCUUGUUGGUGAGGUAACGGCCCACCAAGGCUAACGGGUAGCUGGUCUGAGAGGAUGGUCAGCCACACUGGGACUGAGACACUGCUCAGACUCCUACGGGAGGCUGCAGUCGAGGAUCAUUCGCAAUGGGCGAAAGCCUGACGGUGCGACGCUGCGUGCAGGAUGAAGGUCUUCGGAUUGUAAACUGCUGUCAUGAGGGAGCAAUGAGCGGGAUGUGAAUAUCAUCUCGCAGUGAUAGUACCUCAAGAGGAAGCCACGGCUAACUCUGUGCCAGCAGCCGCGGUAAUACAGAGGCGGCGAGCGUUGUUCGGAUUUACUGGGCGUAAAGGGUGCGUAGGCGGUUUCGUAUGUCGGAUGUGAAAUCUCAUGGCUCAACCAUGGAAUGGCAUCCGAAACUACGAGGCUAGAGUACCGGAGAGGAGAGCGGAAUUCUCGGUGUAGCGGUGAAAUGCGUAGAUAUCGAGAGGAACACCGGUGGCGAAGGCGGCUCUCUGGACGGAUACUGACGCUGAGGCACUAAAGCUAGGGGAGCAAACAGGAUUAGAUGCCCUGGUAGUCCUAGCCUUAAACGGUGUACACUUGGUGUGGGGGGAAUUGUCCCCCUCCGCGCCGGAGCUAACGCGUUAAGUGUACCGCCUGGGGAGUACGGUCGCAAGAUUAAAACUCAAAGGAAUUGACGGGGGCCCGCACAAGCGGUGGAGCAUGUGGCUUAAUUCGAUGCAACGCGAAGAACCUUACCUGGGUUUGACAUGUGGCUGGAUGCCCUCCGAAAGGAGGGAGGCUUUCGAGGCUGCCACACAGGUGCUGCAUGGCUGUCGUCAGCUCGUGCCGUGAGGUGUUAGGUUAAGUCCUGCAACGAGCGCAACCCCUGUGGUUAGUUGCCACUCCGGAGCAAUCCGGAAGCACUCUAAUCAGACUGCCUGUGAUAAGCAGGAGGAAGGUGGGGAUGACGUCAAGUCAGUAUGGUCCUUAUAUCCAGGGCUGCACACGUGCUACAAUGAUCGGUACAGAAGGAUGCAAAACCGCGAGGUGGAGCAAAUCCCUAAAACUGAUCUCAGUUCAGAUUGAAGGCUGCAACUCGCCUUCAUGAAGCUGGAAUCGCUAGUAAUGGCGCAUCAGCUACGGCGCCGUGAAUACGUUCCCGGGCCUUGUACACACCGCCCGUCACAUCAUGGGAGUCGAUUGCACCCGAAGUCCCCGAUUUAUCGGGGCCGAAGGUACGAUUGAUGACUGGGAUGAAGUCUUAACAGGGUAGCCGUAG
rnacentral:rRNA from 1 species